rnacentral:lncRNA from 1 species
GAAUUAUAACAAUAUAAUAACAUAUAUAUAUGUAUAAAGCAAGUUUUAAUUCAAACUUGUACCAUAGAGUGAAUUUUGUCAUUUCAUCUUGUAUUUGAAUGUCAAAAUUAUUAUGCAAUUUUACCUUUGAACUUAGUUUCAAAAUUGUUGUUUCAUUAUCAAUGGCUAUAUGAAAAUUGCAAAUGACGGAUGAAAGUAAACUAAUAGUCUCAAGUGAGGUAUUUUGCAAAAUUAAAAUUGAACUACUACUCAAUAAACUGCUGAAUACAUAAAUUCCAUUUCAAAUUGAACAAACUUUAUCAGUUAAGAACCCAAAAAUUAAAUCCACACAUCCCGAAAUUCUAAAAAAGAAAUCCUGGAUCCCAAAAGGUCAAUCCCUAAAUCCAGAGCUUAAAAACACCCAAUAAAAAUCCUAUCCCCCCUCUUAGGAGCCAGAACUGUAAUUUGGAAAAAUAAUAAAUGAAUGCUGACUGUGUUAGUGAGGUAACAACUAAAACAAGGUACAAAAAUAUGGGGAAAUUAUUUGAAUGAAAUAUGUCUUAUGAUACAAAGACAAAGGUGUACAAUUCAUUGAAGGUCUAAAAAAACAUGGAUUUCAAGUUCUAUUGGUUUAUUAUUAUUUGUGAGAUAUCCAUUUUCAGGGAUUUCAUGGAUGCAUGUGAACCAAUACCAAUAAUUUAUAUGUUGAACACAGUGAAAUUUUACAAAGGCUUCUAUGCAGACUUUUGUAAAACUACAAAAUAAAUUAUCCACAAUUUUUUUUCUCUCCCUUAACCCACAAAAAUCGCUACAUAGGAAAAUAAAUGAAUCUAUAGCAAGAGUUAAUUCUCAUUAAUCCACAAAUUGACAAAUUCUCAUUAAUCCACAAA